rnacentral:rRNA from 1 species
GAUGAACGCUGGCGGCGUGCCUAAUACAUGCAAGUCGAGCGAACAGACGAGGAGCUUGCUCCUCUGACGUUAGCGGCGGACGGGUGAGUAACACGUGGAUAACCUACCUAUAAGACUGGGAUAACUUCGGGAAACCGGAGCUAAUACCGGAUAAUAUAUUGAACCGCAUGGCUCAAUAGUGAAAGACGGUUUUGCUGUCACUUAUAGAUGGAUCCGCGCCGCAUUAGCUAGUUGGUAAGGUAACGGCUUACCAAGGCGACGAUGCGUAGCCGACCUGAGAGGGUGAUCGGCCACACUGGAACUGAGACACGGUCCAGACUCCUACGGGAGGCAGCAGUAGGGAAUCUUCCGCAAUGGGCGAAAGCUUGACGGAGCAACGCCGCGUGAGUGAUGAAGGUCUUCGGAUCGUAAAACUCUGUUAUUAGGGAAGAACAAAUGUGUAAGUAACUAUGCACGUCUUGACGGUACCUAAUCAGAAAGCCACGGCUAACUACGUG